rnacentral:rRNA from 1 species
UACGUAGGUGGCAAGCGUUGUCCGGAAUUAUUGGGCGUAAAGCGCGCGCAGGCGGUCCUUUCAGUCUGAUGUGAAAGCCCACGGCUCAACCGUGGAGGGUCAUUGGAAACUGGGGGACUUGAGUACAGAAGAGAAGAGUGGAAUUCCACGUGUAGCGGUGAAAUGCGUAGAGAUGUGGAGGAACACCAGUGGCGAAGGCGACUCUUUGGUCUGUAACUGACGCUGAGGCGCGAAAGCGUGGGGAGCAAACAGG